CGCCUCCUGCAGUGUACGAUGCUGGCCUGGAAACCUUUCGACCCUAACGUUUUACCUCGGGGUCGUGCACUGUCGGCAACAUAUGAGCACUACCACUUCGUGUGGAAUGCCUGUUGUUGUCACGGCUGACCCCACUUGUUGCUCCGGUUCGAGAGCGACGGCUGGUAACGGCACAGGCGGGAGGCGU
rnacentral:other from 1 species